GGUGAGGAAAAGCAGCGAGCGCCUCUGCCCGUGUCAGGAUGUACCUAAGGCGAAGAAGACCCAGAAGGCCAGCUUUGAAGAAAACCUGGAUAGAGGGAGAGUUGCAAAUCAUCCCCAUUCUACAGGAGACACAGAAGUAGAAGACAGAAUGACCGCAACCAUAUCAACAAACCAAAACCUUGUGCACAGAAACAAGAUGAAGAAAAUGUGUCAAGAGGUUAACAGUAGUCUUUGGAUGAUGAAAAUGGGGGAUUUUGUACCUUCAGUGCCAUCUGGCUCUGCCUGCUCUUCCCUCUGCUUCUGCUUGAACUUCAUGUUCCCAUAGUGCAUCACGGCCCCUGUCAGUUUAUAGAGUCCGGAUUUCUCCUCUGGAGUGAAGCCCAGGAUGUCAAUGGCACUCUACAUCGAAAGACAGCUCAUCAGCCAGAGGACCCCAGGGAUGGAAGAGAACCACCUUACCUCUUUCUCUCGGUUUUACUUACAUCUGUAGCCAACAGCUCCUCAGCAUCAUCAAUGCUGGCCACCAGGAUUUCACCCUGGCUGAUGAAUGGGUAGUCGUAAGGGUUGGUUGUGAUAAGCAGCAGCUCUGAAAGCACCAAUAGUUAUAGGAGAUUGCAUGGAUUCAAAGAAGGCAUCCCCAAGUGACCUGAGCCCCCUGUAUUCUGGGUUUACUUUCCAAAUUGAAUUUAGAAUUACAAAUCUUUUUUACACAGUCUGGCCACACUCAGGCUGUGACUGAAUAUGAAGUUGAGGGGAGACUGCAGCUUGCAUUGCCACGUAGAUUAAGAGCCCCAGAGAGAAUAUUUAAAUUCUCUUGCUUUGCAUGUAAAUGGUGCAUCUCAAUGUAGCUUGACAAAAGUUAAUAGGAAGACUGGCUGAGAGUGGGUCAGGACGGGAGCCCACUCUGCAGGAAGCACAAUUUCGGUUUGUAUAACCAUUGUCGUUUCCAAAGCCUGUUGAAAAGUUGCAGCCUAUUUCCAGGCCUGAGGCCAGAAGGCUGAGCAAACACAAGAGAGGAAAGAAGACCACGGCGUGCAGGGAGGUCUCUGUUGGAUGCAGAACAAAGGGCAGGGAAAAUACCCACAGGC